UCAAAGUAUACUGCUCCAGAAAUGAAA
rnacentral:piRNA from 1 species